rnacentral:lncRNA from 1 species
CCCGCCGGCCUGGGGAGGCAGCAUGAAACACAAUUAAUGUUCUUUUUAGUUAAUGGGGGUUUGGGGUGCUAUUUUUCAUUAUCACAAUCUCUCAAGAAGUAUAAACAGUUUUUCUCUAAUACAAUUGCACUUCUACCGACAAGACAGCUCAGGUGUAAGUGAAAACUCAGCAGAAUUAACCACAAACUUACGUUGUUAUGGAGGAUGCUGGGAUUUGUAUUUUUAAAGCUGUGCAAGAGUAGGGAACUGAGAAGUUCGAUCCCAGUCCUCUGAGGGCGACCCUGCAGCCUCCUCUGCGUUUCUAGAAGCAAGUUACAGCCAAGCUUGUGGGUUAUUAAAGGCACCUGCACCCGGUUCUGCAGCUCACAUUCCUGAGCCUCCUGCCGCCGCCAUGUUUCUACUCUCCGUGUUUCUCCUUCAUGCGCCAAUUUGAGACCCGUUCAAAGCCUGGAUUUUACGACCCUCAUCAAACUCCGUCUACUCUGACCCAAAUGCGGCCAGAAGCACUUGGACAAUCGGAUUGAGUUUCAGCCUCUCGACGGAGAUAAAAAAACACACAGCAGGAAUGAUUUUUUUUUACUUGUUGCAUGGGAGUGCAGGAAACAGAGCAGCAUUCCGGCUGUGCCAGGUGGAUAGAACCAGACGGGCGAUCUGCACAGACGGCCGCCAAGGAAGUCGCAGGAGGAGGAAACAAGGCGUGCAGGUUGGAAAUCCCCCUGCUUCUGAAAUAUUCUCCGGAACUCAACAUAAAAAGCAGGCAAAAGGCGGCUAUCAUUUCCGGCUGAUCUCCCCUCCCUCCCCAACCCCAGACCCCCGAGGCACCCCAUGCGGCUCUGAGGACCCAGUGAGAGAACUGAUGCAGAGGACACACAUCCCAAAGCCAGGCACAGCCUCAAAUGGGUUAAAAUCACACUUGUCAAUUCUGUGACUUUGGUCAAUCUCUCCACCUUUCUGAUCACCAGUUUUCCUGAAAGAUUGUUAAGAGGAUUACAUGAGAUAACCUGGUAGAAACACUCAGCAGUGGACCACAGGGCCGACUAGCGCUGCGCUGUCCGGGAUGGGAACCUCCAGCCCCGCGCGACUGGUCCUAAUUGAGGUGUGCGUAAGCAUAAAACACACAGUGGAUUCCCAAGACUUGUAAGAACAAAGAAUGUAAAACAUCUCAUUAAUAAUUUUUAUAUUGAUUACAUGUUGAACUGAC